rnacentral:snRNA from 1 species
AUCGCUUCUCGGCCUUUUGGCUAAGAUCAAGUGUAGUAUCUGUUCUUAUCAGUUUAAUAUCUGAUAAAGAGCACGUACGUUGGAGGGUUUUCAUGGUCU